rnacentral:rRNA from 1 species
CCUACGGGUGGCAGCAGUGGGGAAUAUUGCACAAUGGGGGAAACCCUGAUGCAGCGACGCCGCGUGAGUGAAGAAGUAUUUCGGUAUGUAAAGCUCUAUCCGCAGGGAAGCAAAUGACGGUACCUGAUUAAGAAGCCACGGCUAACUACGUGCCAGCAGCCGCGGUAAUUCGGAGGGGGCAAGCGUUAUCCGGAUUUACUGGGUGUAAAGGGAGCGUAGACGGCAGCACAAGUCUGGAGUGAAAUGCCGGGGCUUAACCCCGGAACUGCUUUGGAAACUGUGCAGCUAGAGUGAAGGAGAGGUAAGUGGAAUUCCUGGUGUAGCGGUGAAAUGCGCAGAUAUUAGGAGGAACACCAGUGGCGAAGGCGGCUUACUGGACUGUAACUGACGUUGAGGCUCGAAAGCGUGGGGAGCGAACAGGAUUAGAUACCCCUGUAGUC